rnacentral:rRNA from 1 species
GGGUUGUGAGGUUAAGCGACUAAGCGUACACGGUGGAUGCCCUGGCAGUCAGAGGCGAUGAAGGGCGUGCUAAUCUGCGAUAAGCGCCGGUAAGGUGAUAUGAACCGUUAUAACCGGCGAUACCCGAAUGGGGAAACCCAGUGUGAUUCGUCACACUAUCAUUAACUGAAUCCAUAGGUUAAUGAGGCGAACCGGGGGAACUGAAACAUCUAAGUACCCCGAGGAAAAGAAAUCAACCGAGAUUCCCCCAGUAGCGGCGAGCGAACGGGGAGGAGCCCAGAGCCUGAAUCAGCAUGUGUGUUAGUGGAAGCGUCUGGAAAGGCGCGCGAUACAGGGUGACAGCCCCGUACACAAAAGCGCAUGUGCUGUGAGCUCGAUGAGUAGGGCGGGACACGUGGUAUCCUGUCUGAAUAUGGGGGGACCAUCCUCCAAGGCUAAAUACUCCUGACUGACCGAUAGUGAACCAGUACCGUGAGGGAAAGGCGAAAAGAACCCCGGCGAGGGGAGUGAAAAAGAACCUGAAACCGUGUACGUACAAGCAGUGGGAGCNNGUGACUGCGUACCUUUUGUAUAAUGGGUCAGCGACUUAUAUUCUGUAGCAAGGUUAACCGAAUAGGGGAGCCGGAGGGAAACCGAGUCUUAACCGGGCGUUAAGUUGCAGGGUAUAGACCCGAAACCCGGUGAUCUAGCCAUGGGCAGGUUGAAGGUUGGGUAACACUAACUGGAGGACCGAACCGACUAAUGUUGAAAAAUUAGCGGAUGACCUGUGGCUGGGGGUGAAAGGCCAAUCAAACCGGGAGAUAGCUGGUUCUCCCCGAAAGCUAUUUAGGUAGCGCCUCGUGAAUUCAUCUCCGGGGGUAGAGCACUGUUUCGGCUAGGGGGCCAUCCCGGCUUACCAACCCGAUGCAAACUGCGAAUACCGGAGAAUGUUAUCACGGGAGACACACGGCGGGUGCUAACGUCCGUCGUGAAGAGGGAAACAACCCAGACCGCCAGCUAAGGUCCCAAAGUCAUGGUUAAGUGGGAAACGAUGUGGGAAGGCCCAGACAGCCAGGAUGUUGGCUUAGAAGCAGCCAUCAUUUAAAGAAAGCGUAAUAGCUCACUGGUCGAGUCGGCCUGCGCGGAAGAUGUAACGGGGCUAAACCAUGCACCGAAGCUGCGGCAGCGANNGUUGGGUAGGGGAGCGUUCUGUAAGCCUGUGAAGGUGGCCUGUGAGGGUUGCUGGAGGUAUCAGAAGUGCGAAUGCUGACAUAAGUAACGAUAAAGCGGGUGAAAAGCCCGCUCGCCGGAAGACCAAGGGUUCCUGUCCAACGUUAAUCGGGGCAGGGUGAGUCGACCCCUAAGGCGAGGCCGAAAGGCGUAGUCGAUGGGAAACGGGUUAAUAUUCCCGUACUUGGUGUUACUGCGAAGGGGGGACGGAGAAGGCUAUGUUGGCCGGGCGACGGUUGUCCCGGUUUAAGCGUGUAGGUGUGUGUUCCAGGUAAAUCCGGUUCACUUUAACACUGAGGCGUGAUGACGAGGCACUACGGUGCUGAAGUAACAAAUGCCCUGCUUCCAGGAAAAGCCUCUAAGCAUCAGGUAACAUCAAAUCGUACCCCAAACCGACACAGGUGGUCAGGUAGAGAAUACCAAGGCGCUUGAGAGAACUCGGGUGAAGGAACUAGGCAAAAUGGUGCCGUAACUUCGGGAGAAGGCACGCUGACACGUAGGUGAAGUGAUUUACUCAUGGAGCUGAAGUCAGUCGAAGAUACCAGCUGGCUGCAACUGUUUAUUAAAAACACAGCACUGUGCAAACACGAAAGUGGACGUAUACGGUGUGACGCCUGCCCGGUGCCGGAAGGUUAAUUGAUGGGGUCAGCGCAAGCGAAGCUCCUGAUCGAAGCCCCGGUAAACGGCGGCCGUAACUAUAACGGUCCUAAGGUAGCGAAAUUCCUUGUCGGGUAAGUUCCGACCUGCACGAAUGGCGUAAUGAUGGCCAGGCUGUCUCCACCCGAGACUCAGUGAAAUUGAACUCGCUGUGAAGAUGCAGUGUACCCGCGGCAAGACGGAAAGACCCCGUGAACCUUUACUAUAGCUUGACACUGAACAUUGAGCCUUGAUGUGUAGGAUAGGUGGGAGGCUUUGAAGCGUGGACGCCAGUCUGCGUGGAGCCGACCUUGAAAUACCACCCUUUAAUGUUUGAUGUUCUAACGUGGACCCGUGAUCCGGGUUGCGGACAGUGUCUGGUGGGUAGUUUGACUGGGGCGGUCUCCUCCUAAAGAGUAACGGAGGAGCACGAAGGUUGGCUAAUCCUGGUCGGACAUCAGGAGGUUAGUGCAAUGGCAUAAGCCAGCUUGACUGCGAGCGUGACGGCGCGAGCAGGUGCGAAAGCAGGUCAUAGUGAUCCGGUGGUUCUGAAUGGAAGGGCCAUCGCUCAACGGAUAAAAGGUACUCCGGGGAUAACAGGCUGAUACCGCCCAAGAGUUCAUAUCGACGGCGGUGUUUGGCACCUCGAUGUCGGCUCAUCACAUCCUGGGGCUGAAGUAGGUCCCAAGGGUAUGGCUGUUCGCCAUUUAAAGUGGUACGCGAGCUGGGUUUAGAACGUCGUGAGACAGUUCGGUCCCUAUCUGCCGUGGGCGCUGGAGAACUGAGGGGGGCUGCUCCUAGUACGAGAGGACCGGAGUGGACGCAUCACUGGUGUUCGGGUUGUCAUGCCAAUGGCACUGCCCGGUAGCUAAAUGCGGAAGAGAUAAGUGCUGAAAGCAUCUAAGCACGAAACUUGCCCCGAGAUGAGUUCUCCCUGAGACUUAGAGUCUCCUGAAGGAACGUUGAAGACGACGACGUUGAUAGGCCGGGUGUGUAAGCGCAGCGAUGCGUUGAG